rnacentral:rRNA from 1 species
CCCUUAGACGUUCUGGGCCGCACGCGCGCUACACUGACCAGUGCAACAAGCAUCCGUCCUUGGCCGACAGGCCCGGGCAAUCUUUGAACGCUGGUCGUGAUGGGGAUAGACUUUUGCAAUUUUUGGUCUUCAACGAGGAAUUCCUAGUAAACGCAAGUCAUCAACUUGCAUUGAUUACGUCCCUGCCCUUUGUACACACCGCCCGUCGCACCUACCGAUUGAAUGGUCCGGUGAAGCCUCCGGAUUGGCGCGCACCUCGGUGCCGCCGAGAAGUUGGCUAAACCUUACCAUUUAGAGGAAGGUGAAGUCGGAACA